UACGAAGGGGGCUAGCGUUGUUCGGAAUUACUGGGCGUAAAGCGCACGUAGGCGGAUAUUUAAGUUAGGGGUGAAAUCCCAGGGCUCAACCCUGGAACUGCCUUUAAUACUGGGUAUCUCGAGUCCGAGAGAGGUGAGUGGAAAUUCCGAGUGUAGAGGUGAAAUUCGUAGAUAUUCGGAGGAACACCAGUGGCGAAGGCGGCUCACUGGCUCGGUACUGACGCUGAGGUGCGAAAGCGUGGGGAGCAAACAGGG
rnacentral:rRNA from 1 species